GCUAUGUUUUAUUUAGAAAUAAGAAUCUGAGCUGCACUGUGGUUUUGAAUGGCAGUAGAAUAGUUUAUCUUUUGUGUUUUGUCUGUUUUUAUCAAAGUAUAUUAUUAGAUCUCCUGCUAUACUACCCUGGACAACCGAAUGCUAAAUAGAUGUACUAAAAAUUAAAUGACAUCUGAGAACUUUCCAGGACAUCUGCAACAUGAUUUAGCAACAUCGAAGGAGGCAGCUGGAUCUGCUGGGAUCUCUGAAAUCAGGACAUGACGAAACAGGACUUGUAUUGGAACAGGACUCGAAGAAGAAAAAAUGAGGAAAAAUGCAAAAAUUUGUGAGGCCAUGUGCUUCAGUUAUUCCAGAUGGGCUGUAUGUAACAAAACAGGAACAGCUCAACAUGUACUUGAACUGUCUAUUCCAGGAGGUAAGCAAAAUUUUGAGGGAGGGAGGGAGGGAGGGAGGGAGGGAAUUUUA
rnacentral:lncRNA from 1 species